AACGCUAGCGGCAGGCUUAAUACAUGCAAGUUGAGGGGCAGCAUGAUAUACGCGAGUAUAUUGAUGGCGACCGGCGGACGGGUGAGUAAUAGGUAGGAGACCUACCUCAUACAGGGGGAUAGCAUAGAGAAAUCUGUGGUAAUACCCCAUGAGGUUAUAUGAAUAGAGGCAUAUAAUCAAAGCAUAAGCGAUUAUGCGGUAUGAGAGGGGCCUACUGACCAUUAGCUAGUUGGUGAGGUAAGGGCUCACCAAGGCGAAGAUGGUUAGGGGUUUUGAGAGAGAGACCCCCCACAUUGGAACUGAGAGACGGUCCAGACUCCUACGGGAGGCAGCAGUAGGGAAUAUUGGGCAAUGGGCGAAAGCCUGACCCAGCCAUGCCGCGUGAAGGAAGACGGCCUUAUGGGUUGUAAAGCUCUUUCGGCCGGGAAGAAAUCGCAUGGGUUAAUACCCUGUGCGGAUGACGGUACCGGCAUAAGAAGCACCGGCUAACUACGUG
rnacentral:rRNA from 1 species